UUUAAUCUUUUGAAUUUCUCAGGUCAGUCAAUUUCAAAUUUGUACCAGACAAUGUUUUUGUAUCCAAGGAGUUUGCCAGUGCCUUGCUGCUUCUUCAUCUUACAUUGCUUCUAGUGUUUGCUCACUAUAGAUGGUCCAAGCAUGAAGGAGGAUUAAUCAAUCUCGUGAAAUCCAGAUUAAGUAAUGCUGUAUUAGAAUCCUCAACCAUUCAGCAAUUUUUCUCUCGCAAGUCCAGAUUCAAAACUCCCAGUGGAGAACAUAUUGUGACAGUUAUGUUUGUCGGCAACUUCAUCGGCAUUGUGUGUGCUCGGUCUUUGCAUUACCAAUUCUAUUCGUGGUACUUCUACUCUUUGCCUUUUCUUCUGUGGAAGACACCGUAUCUUACUCCUCUACGGCUUAUUCUCUUUUUUGGCAUCGAGGUCUGCUGGAACAUUUAUCCGUCAAACUUCUAUUCUUCCAUAUUAUUACUCUUUCUACAUCUGUGUAUUUUAUGGGGCCUUUGGAUUUCCCCAAGUGAGUAUCCCUAUGUUGAGGAAAGAACUUCGCAGGGAAAAGAAGAAUGAACCAUGUUUUCUGGGUCUCCAAUUAACUAAUCGUAUGAGAGGUCUCAUUUAACUUUUGAUUAUACAGAAGGUCUUUAGUUGUAAAAGAACGAUGUGUUGAUUUUUGGAGAAGUCGGAACCUUUCCAAGUGAAGUUGAAAUCUGAGUCCUGAUCAGGAGUAUUACUAAGAAAAGAAAAUUUAGAACAGCUGAAGUCUCAGUGUGCCAUUUAGAAAGUUAGUUGGAUAAUGCUGUGCUUACAAACUUCAUAACAGUUUGCAAACCAUUGUUAUGACUGUUGACUUAAUUUAUUGGUUUUUGUGAAUUAUGACUACCUCCGCGUGAUUUACGUGUUCUUGCCAGUUGGCUUUGGCUGUAUUUUUGAAUUUGUAAAAUGAUUUGCAAUUGUUUGUAA